GGCACUAUAGCCAAGUGGUUAAGGCGACAGAUUAGAACAACCUAAAGAUGAGGUGUUUAUCUAUCUGUUACUCUCUGAGUGCGCAGGUUCAAAUCCUGCUGGUGUCG